CCUACGGGAGGCAGCAGUCGAGAAUCAUUCACAAUGGGGGAAACCCUGAUGGUGCGACGCCGCGUGGGGGAAUGAAGGUCUUCGGAUUGUAAACCCCUGUCAUGUGGGAGCAAAUUAAAAAGAUAGUACCACAAGAGGAAGAGACGGCUAACUCUGUGCCAGCAGCCGCGGUGAUACAGAGGUCUCAAGCGUUGUUCGGAAUUACUGGGCGUAAAGCGUGCGUAGGCUGUUUCGUAAGUCGUGUGUGAAAGGCGCGGGCUCAACCCGCGGACGGCACAUGAUACUGCGAGACUAGAGUAAUGGAGGGGGAACCGGAAUUCUCGGUGUAGCAGUGAAAUGCGUAGAUAUCGAGAGGAACACUCGUGGCGAAGGCGGGUUCCUGGACAUUAACGGACGCUGAGGCUCGAAAGCGUGGGGAGCAAACAGGAUUAGAUACCCCUGUAGUC
rnacentral:rRNA from 1 species